CAAAGAAGAAUGCAUAUUAAAGUACUUAAAUAUACAUUCUUUAACAUAUAUGCAAAAAGUACUUGCCAUUUAAGAAGGACUCAAUGUCACCUCCCUGGUCUGUUUUUGCACCACUAGUGGCUGCUUCAAGUUGCAUAAAAAUGAUGCCUUUUGAAAUACCUUGGAGCACUUUACAUACAUGUGAGAGGUAUCUUAAACCCUCCUGUGGGUGAGGGGUGUACAGAAUUCCUCCAUGCAUUUGAAAGGAGAAGAAAAA